UUUAAAUUGUUUUUUUUAGCUAUGAAAAUUAUUAAUUUACGAAACAAAGUAGAAUGGACGAUAUGUAUAAAGAUAAGAAUUUAUUAUUAAACAGCUUCCAAAUUACAAAGGCGAAUGUGGUACGCUCCACAGGAAUUAAAAUCCACUUUAAUAUGACAGCCGCCGCAAACGUUGGGAAACAAAAACAACAAAACAACGAAACGCACAAAAAUAAAGAGAAUAGACGAGAUCCAAAUUUAUCAAUUUGAGCAAAAGAAUAGAAGCGCAAAAGGGAACACCAAAAUAGAAAUAAAAGAAAAAAAAUUCCUUAACAUUAUAGGCCGGUUUAAAUAGAAUUGACUUUUAGCAUUUUGCUAUCUACUGCGUCUUCCAAUUCACUUCACCUCACGAUUUCGACUGAAUACUCCGUUGGCAGUGUUAUUUUG